rnacentral:rRNA from 1 species
AUUGAACGCUGGCGGCAGGCCUAACACAUGCAAGUCGAGCGGCAGAGGGGGGUUUGCCCCUGGAGCCAGCGGCGGACGGGUGAGUAAUGCAUAGGAAUCUGCCUGGUAGUGGGGGAUAGCGUGCGGAAACGGGCGCUAAUACCGCAUACGACCUGAGGGUGAAAGCGGGGGAUCGUCGGACCUCGCGCUAUCAGAGGAGCCUAUGUCGGAUUAGCUAGUUGGUGGGGUAAAGGCCUACCAAGGCGACGAUCCGUAGCUGGUCUGAGAGGACGACCAGCCACACUGGAACUGAGACACGGUCCAGACUCCUACGGGAGGCAGCAGUGGGGAAUUUUGGACAAUGGGCGAAAGCCUGAUCCAGCCAUGCCGCGUGUGUGAAGAAGGUCUUCGGAUUGUAAAGCGCUUUAGUUUGGGAGGAAGGGCUGUAAGCUAAUACCUUGCUGUUAUGACGUUACCGGCAGAAUAAGCACCGGCUAACUACGUG